ensembl:antisense
GCUUCCCUCUAAGCAGGUGAACCGAGCUCAAGACUUUCCCACGAUCCCUCAGUAAAUCUGUCUUUGCUCUGCCCCUUUCCUCUGUCCCAGCCAUCUGUCUGUUUUUCAGAGCGCGUCUGCUGGAGCGAAUGUCAGCUGCGGGGACAAGUCCAGCAUUCCCAAACACAUCUCACCACAACAUUUAGCCACAAAUACAAAUAUUUUGCUCCACAAAUGAAGACUGCGUUACUAAAAAUGCUGGAAUGCUAAAUUCUUUCUCUCCGUCUUUCUUUAACAGAAACCUAUGGUUUUCCAGGCAGACCAAGACAGCGAAAUUGACAAAGCCAAUGCACGUAUCAUUAGAGUGCUGAAAGCAGCGCGCCUGGUGCCGCGGGUCUCCUCCUGCGCUGCCUUCCCUCCAAACGCAUGACAUUGGCUGGCUGAGAGCAUGAGAACGGAGCCUUUUCAAUAGCAGGAUCCUCAUACUUGGCCAGUAACCAUGGAAGCAGAUGCCUACUCACUUUGCCCUCCUUACCUCCUUGCUCCCUCAUUGAAAAGGAGGGCACGCCUCGCUUUCUUCUUCCUGACCGAACUUGCCUGGCCCUCAAAGGGAGCGAUUGAGCAGGUCACCGGUCUAGACUUGUUUGCAUGGUCCGUGGAGCAGUCUUGAGGUAACCCUUGCUCCCCGCCCGUCGCACCGGCACAGACUGCAGGGGGGGACCAUCGGAGAUGCGAAUUUGAAAAGGAGCCCUGUCCGAUUUUGCCUUUGUGCCUUUUCCCUCAUCGAUCGGCUGAAUAUCGAACCCUCUGUCUGUGCAUGUGUGAAACGGAUAGCUUAGUAAGCAUUUUUUCUAAUCAAGCUUGCGUUGUGGGCCAACUCUCUCGUUUUUCUCUCCCGCUCUCGAACCCUCCCUCUCUCCUCUCUCUUUUUUCUUCCUUUCUUUCUCCAUUUCUCUCUCACUUUCUGCGUUUUGGCACUUUCUGUGUUUUGAUUAUCUUGGACGUUUGGCAUGUUGCGAUGCUUCUGAUCAGUGUCUCUUUUUUUUAAUCUGUGGAUUUUGCAUGCUGCUUUCUCUGUUUGCUUUUCGAUUUCAACUGGGAUCAAAUAGAGGGACGUUUCAGACUAUUUAUACCAAAAACUGGCUGCUGCUUUGCUUUUAAUUCAUCAUGUUUUUUUCUUAAAAACUAAAAAAAAUGUAACAAUUUUUAUGUGAAAAUACUGGUGUGUCUCAUAAGGUGAGUAUAAUUACGUUCUUAUGUAUUAGAUCUGAAAUAAACAGUUAGUGUAAAAGAUUCAAUUAAAAAAGAAAAAUCAAAUCUCUUUUCUCCUGUUUCCUGAUAUAUGUGCUCUAACUGAAAUAUUUAUGUUGAGUUUUCUGACAUUAAAGCUGCAAGUCUUUGAACUUAAACAUGUCUUUUGGCACUGUGACGUGCUGCAAUUAUUGUGGGAUUAUUCGGCUUAAACUGUUCAUUUUGCGAGGAGAUUUGAGAUGUAAGAAGUAAUACAUUUUCACUUACAGUAUGUCAAACAACAUUGUAUUAGACUUCCUAAAUAUUAAUGCAAGAACAUUUAUUUCGAUUAGAUUUUUUAGGCUGUUUCUGAAGGAAGUGACUGUUACAAAAGAAAAAAAACAUUAAGUGAAACAUUUAAAAGAUUAUUAUUAAAUUAAUUGAAGAUAAUUAAUUUAUUUUAUGAUUAAUUUACUGUGAUGAACAUAUUUAUUUAUUAAAGCCACUAUAUAGAGAAAACAGCAUAUCAAUAUUGAUCAUUUUUUUUAUUGUUAGUGGCAUAGAAAUGAAUAGAAUUGUUAAAUUCUUGAAAAUAAUGAAAAUUUUUGCAAAUAUUAAAAUGAAUCAAAAUAUUAUUAUUAUGGUGCAAUAUUAUUUUAAAAGAAUAAGACUGUAUUAUUAGCCUUUGUUUAAGUUGUAAUGAAAUCUUAUAAAAAAAAAAACACCUUAAAAAGAGUUUAUAAGAAAUAUUAAAAAAAAACAUUUUUAAUGAAACAAAUUAGCAAUGAUAUAAUCUUGCUCCUUGGUUCCUAAGAUAUCACAUAUUCCCAAUAUAUUCUGUAAUAUUUGAACGUAUAUUCCAAUACACAAUACUUUAAAGGGCAAUAAAAUGUCAGUGAAAUUGCAUAAUAAAAAUAAAAAGCAUUUAAAUGAAAAACUAUGAUAUUCUUAAUUUUUAAAUCAUCACAUAUUUCCUAAAUAUUAAUUUAUUUGAAUUAUAGCAUUAUGGUCCAAGAAAUUUCAUACAAACUCUUUUAUUUAUCGUAUCAACGUUUUUAAUGUCCUUUCGCCCCUUUUUUCCUGCUCAAUUAAUUUUCGGUGAAGGAUUGAGAAUGCACCAGACUGGGUGUUUAAGGGUGCAGAAGUGGGGAUUUUUUUUGGAGAACUGUGAUUGGAUGGAGCCUCACGCAGUGAACCACACGCGCCAUGUCAGUAGCUGACAGUGAGGUCACAGAAAAUGGAAGCUCAAGGUCUGAGUUCAGUCUGGAAAUUACCCACUGUCUGAUUCCACUUACUGACUAUUGUCAUAAAAAUACAGGCCUUGUCCCAUUUAAAUGCACAAACAUUAAAAGUAAUUGGUCAUCUAUUUCCAGUCCGUGCAUUUUGAACAGCUGCUCAGAAGACAGAGCAUUUUUGUUCUCUAUUUUAAACACAUUUAUUUUGUGUUGUAAUUACGAGCCUUUUGAACAUAUAUUUCACUUAUUAUGUUCUUAAAUGUUUUACAUUAAAAACUCUUAAUCUUAUUCAAUUAAGGUUUCAAAAAUAUUUCGUUAAAAGUGAUGCAAUAAAUAGGCAAUUUUUGUUAUCUAAAUAGCCUUUCAUUUAAGAUCGUUUUGCUUUCCAUUUUUAAUAAUCAUUUUGAAAAUGUUAAAGGUUCUUUAUGGAACAACCAAUGCCAAUAAGGAAUCUUCAGUCCUCAGUCUUCUUACAGACCAAAUGUAUGAAUGCAUUCAAAUCAUCAAUCAGUUAUCUGUAGAAUUAAUGAUUUAAAAUAAUACAUUUAUUUUAUGAUUCAUUUACAGUGUCGGAAUGAGUUUAAUAUUAAAGUCAGUAUAUAUGGAAGUAUAUGAUUUAAAAUUGAUAUCUAUGGUAUUAUAAAAAACAUACUAAAUAGCAAUUUCAAAUAAAUAAUCAUUUGUGUUAAUGUAUUUUGUAUAUUAAUAAACAAUUUAUGACAACACAAAUACAGAUGUAUAAAUAUUUUCAAGCCAAAUCAACCAAAUCUACAUUUUAUUUUAAAUCUGCACUCAGAAUCUAUUAAAAAGUGUUUUUCUUUUUCUUUUAAAUAAAAAGGCACAAUUAUAUACUCAGUCAAAAUCAUUAUAAGACAACAUUUUGAUUAUUUAAAGUAGUCUUCUAUGCACGAAAAUAACAAAUUAACAAACUACAUAGAGAUAAACACUAGAUCUGCUCAUCAGUCAAUGUGAUCCAGCCAGCGAGCUUCACUAUAAUGCAAUUAUGUGACUUGUGGUAUGCAUUGAACAGCCCGGUUCAGAAGUGUUGUUAGCUAUGUAUAUGUCAGUGUUCUGACUUUGAGACAGCAGUUCAAUAUGUUCGUUCGCCUCACCCGAACGUGAGACUCACAAUAGACAAUAAGGCCAAGACCAGCUGUGAUUUUUCUGUUGAUCUCGCUCUAUGCAUUAUUUAUAGUCACAUCAGAAGAUUAGGCUGAAAGCUUGACCCUCGCGCAUGACAUUGUCUCCAGCCCAUUCACGUUCUGGUCAGUGCUAACAAAUGAUAACCGCAAAUGUCCACCAAUAAUCCCACUGCUUUGGCCUCAUGCCUUUUAAGAAUUGAGUUUUAAUCAGUCUGUUUAUUUCACACCGCUAUAUAUGUAUAUUGUUUUGAUAAUUAUUUUAAAUGGUGGAUUACAGUAUAUUAUGCUUAAGAUAAAAUAUCGAAUUAAAUGUAUUAAAAUUCAAAAAUGCUUUUUAGAAAUAAUAUAAAAAUAGAUUUGAUACUCUUAAAAUGACAAAGAAUAUAAUGCCAACAGUAGGUUGAGAGGAAAUAUUUUGUUUAAAACAAAUUACAAAACAAUAAUGUUAAUAAUAAUAUAAAAUUAAAAUAACAGCACUUUUCACCCUGUCAUGCAACAAUGAAAUAUUCAGCAUAUAGUAAUAGUUUUUAGUUGUUUGUUUUUAUUUCACUAUGCCACAUUUUCCUUGUUUUAAUUAAACAUGCACUGAAUAAAGUUCAGUUUGUAUCUCAUAACCUUGCGUUUUUCUCAUUUUAUUGCCUGCAUUUCUUGUUUUUCAACACAAAAACACAAUCUGUGUGGACAGCCCAGUAUAUUUAAGCGAAUCCCACUGGAAGAUUUACUUGUUUGUUUGUUUGUUUAUUUAUUUAUUUAUUUAUUUAUUUAUGUUUUAUUUAAUUAGUUAGUAUAAAAAUUGACAGGUUUUAGAAAGCAAAAAAACUGUUCUUGUACAGUGGAAAAAGGAAACGUUUGAUAAUCUUGCUCUUGAAAAAUUAACAUGUAAUUAGAGGUAAAGCAGAGACUUUUGAAGAAGUGUGGUCUCCUUCUGGUCACUUUAUAAUUGGACAGAUGAAAAUAGAUGUCUUUGGAACGAGGACUUUAAUUUAAAAUUAAAUGUAAUAAUGUUUGUUUUGUAUUAUUAAAUAUAUACGCCCACACACACUGGUCAAUAUAUAUGAUUUUAUUGUUUUGUAUUUUAUUUUUAUAAUUUAUUUUAAAUGUUAUUUUUGUUUAACAAGUGUUGGGCUGGGAAAGUACAUUCUGAAAUAUUAUAUAAGUUAACAUGCUUUAUUGUUUGCUGGGCUUUGUAAUAUAAUUAAAUCAAUAAAAACAAACUUGAUAUAUACAUAUAUAUAUAUAAUUCAUACAAUUAUUUUACUAAUUCAACUAAUUUACCAAUGCUUUCUUCAUAAUUCAGCAUUUAAAAUAAAAAAUAAAUUACAGGGGUGGAAAAGCAUCCACUUUUUUGUGUAUUGUACAUCAAGAAGUCCUUAAAUAAACAAGAGAUAACAGUUUCUGUCCUCCUUUGAGGAAGCAACACAAAAAGAUUCCCUGAGCUAACAAACAGCAUUAUCUGUUUAAUUGCCUGAGAACUGUUAAAUAGCCUCUAUUUACAUGACAAGAUGCAGCUUGUUGUGAAGUGUGACAUAAACGAGCCGAUAGACAAAAGAUGACGGCCGGUCACCACCGCCCCUGCACCCCCCAAAGGCAGAGUCCGGCUCAUGAAUGACACACACCGAAACAAGCAAACAUACACACACACACACGCACACACACACACACACUGAC